UUUUCAUCAGACAAUCUGUGUGAGCACUGCAAAGUACGCUUCUUUAAGGUAAGGAGGUGAUCCAACCGCAGGUUCCCCUACGGUUACCUUGUUACGACUUCACCCCAGUCAUGAAUCACAAAGUGGUAAGCGCCCUCCCGAAGGUUAAGCUACCUACUUCUUUUGCAACCCACUCCCAUGGUGUGACGGGCGGUGUGUACAAGGCCCGGGAACGUAUUCACCGUGGCAUUCUGAUCCACGAUUACUAGCGAUUCCGACUUCAUGGAGUCGAGUUGCAGACUCCAAUCCGGACUACGACGCACUUUAUGAGGUCCGCUUGCUCUCGCGAGGUCGCUUCUCUUUGUAUGCGCCAUUGUAGCACGUGUGUAGCCCUGGUCGUAAGGGCCAUGAUGACUUGACGUCAUCCCCACCUUCCUCCAGUUUAUCACUGGCAGUCUCCUUUGAGUUCCCGGCCGGACCGCUGGCAACAAAGGAUAAGGGUUGCGCUCGUUGCGGGACUUAACCCAACAUUUCACAACACGAGCUGACGACAGCCAUGCAGCACCUGUCUCACGGUUCCCGAAGGCACAUUCUCAUCUCUGAAAACUUCCGUGGAUGUCAAGACCAGGUAAGGUUCUUCGCGUUGCAUCGAAUUAAACCACAUGCUCCACCGCUUGUGCGGGCCCCCGUCAAUUCAUUUGAGUUUUAACCUUGCGGCCGUACUCCCCAGGCGGUCUACUUAACGCGUUAGCUCCGGAAGCCACGCCUCAAGGGCACAACCUCCAAGUAGACAUCGUUUACGGCGUGGACUACCAGGGUAUCUAAUCCUGUUUGCUCCCCACGCUUUCGCACCUGAGCGUCAGUCUUUGUCCAGGGGGCCGCCUUCGCCACCGGUAUUCCUCCAGAUCUCUACGCAUUUCACCGCUACACCUGGAAUUCNNNNNNNNNNNNNNNNNNNNCUCAAGCCUGCCAGUUUCGAAUGCAGUUCCCAGGUUGAGCCCGGGGAUUUCACAUCCGACUUGACAGACCGCCUGCGUGCGCUUUACGCCCAGUAAUUCCGAUUAACGCUUGCACCCUCCGUAUUACCGCGGCUGCUGGCACGGAGUUAGCCGGUGCUUCUUCUGCGGGUAACGUCAAUUGCUGCGGUUAUUAACCACAACACCUUCCUCCCCGCUGAAAGUACUUUACAACCCGAAGGCCUUCUUCAUACACGCGGCAUGGCUGCAUCAGGCUUGCGCCCAUUGUGCAAUAUUCCCCACUGCUGCCUCCCGUAGGAGUCUGGACCGUGUCUCAGUUCCAGUGUGGCUGGUCAUCCUCUCAGACCAGCUAGGGAUCGUCGCCUUGGUGAGCCGUUACCUCACCAACAAGCUAAUCCCAUCUGGGCACAUCUGAUGGCAAGAGGCCCGAAGGUCCCCCUCUUUGGUCUUGCGACGUUAUGCGGUAUUAGCCACCGUUUCCAGUAGUUAUCCCCCUCCAUCAGGCAGUUUCCCAGACAUUACUCACCCGUCCGCCACUCGUCAGCAAAGCAGCAAGCUGCUUCCUGUUACCGUUCGACUUGCAUGUGUUAGGCCUGCCGCCAGCGUUCAAUCUGAGCCAUGAUCAAACUCUUCAAUUUAAAAGUUUGAUGCUCAAUGAAUUAAACUUCGUAAUGAAUUACGUGUUCACUCUUGAGACUUGGUAUUCAUUUUUCGUCNNNNNNNNNNNNNNNNNNNNGA
rnacentral:rRNA from 1 species